GUGUAUUGUAUAGUUCUAGGGAUUGUAUUUCACUCAAAACCCACCAAAUGCCUCCUACCACAAUAUUAUGUUGUUCCCCAAGUUUUGGACUCAAUCCGAUAUCGAUUGGGGCUUGAAAUCGGACAAUUCAGGUUCGUACGAAGUUCGUUCUGAAAUGGAGUGGUUGAUGUAUUGUAUAGUUUUAGGGAUUGUAUUUCACUCAAAACCCACCAAAUGACUCCUCCCACAAUAUUAUGAUGUUGCCCAAGUUUUGGAUUCAAUCCGAUAUCGAUUGGGCCUUGAAAUCGGACAAUUCAGGUUCGUACUAAGUUCGUUCUGAAAUGGAGUGGUUGGUGUAUUGUAUAGUUGUAGGGAUUGUAUUUCACUCAAAACCCACCAAAUGACUCCUCCCACAAUAUUUUGUUGUUCCCCAAGUUUUGGACUCAAUCCGAUAUCGAUUGGGGCUUGAAAUCGGACAAUUCAGGUUCGUAGCAAGUUCGUUCUGAAAUGGAGUGGUUGGUGUAUUGUAUAGUUCUAGGGAUUGUAUUUCACUCAAAACCCACCAAAUGACUCCUCCCACAAUAUUAUGAUGUUCCCCAAGUUUUGGACUCAAUCCGAUAUCUAUUGGUCCUUGAAAUCGGACAAU
rnacentral:lncRNA from 1 species